rnacentral:rRNA from 1 species
AUGGAAAAUGGAGUGGAACUUUGGUACGUGGAGGUACACCUCCAGGAGUUUGCCCAAAGACUAUGGGGCAAUACUUUUUCAUCGUCAGAAAAAGAGGGCAGUAAUGCAAGACCAAAUGCUAUGAUGAGAGGUUUUCGUAAUUGUUUAGGAGAGUGUGGCCUCGAGGAUAUGGGUUGUAUUGGUGACCCUUUCACUUGGAUGAGAGGCGAUACUAGAGAGAGGCUUGAUCGUGUGGUCUGCAAUGUCGAAUGGGCGAAUAAAUUCCCUUGGGCCGUGAUAACUAAUGAGGAACAUGUUCAUUCUGAUCAUCAUCCACUCAUACUGGAUACGGAAUAUUUUGAUGGAAAUAUUUUUAAUGCCCCAAGGGGACGAGUAAAACAAUUUGAAGCUAGAUGGCUCAAGGAGGAGACGGUCGGUAAAGUUGUUCGUAUAGCAUGGGAAUAA